AACGAACGCUGGCGGCAGGCCUAACACAUGCAAGUCGAGCGCCCUUUCGGGGGAGCGGCGGACGGGUGAGUAACGCGUGGGAAUAUGCCCUUCUCUACGGAAUAGCCUCGGGAAACUGAGAGUAAUACCGUAUACGCCCUAUGGGGGAAAGAUUCAUCGGGGAAGGAUUAGCCCGCGUUGGAUUAGGUAGUUGGUGGGGUAAUGGCCUACCAAGCCGACGAUCCAUAGCUGGUUUGAGAGGAUGAUCAGCCACACUGGGACUGAGACACGGCCCAGACUCCUACGGGAGGCAGCAGUGGGGAAUCUUAGACAAUGGGGGCAACCCUGAUCUAGCCAUGCCGCGUGAGUGAUGAAGGCCUUAGGGUUGUAAAGCUCUUUCAGCUGGGAAGAUAAUGACGGUACCAGCAGAAGAAGCCCCGGCUAACUCCGUG
rnacentral:rRNA from 1 species